rnacentral:rRNA from 1 species
GCAAGUCGAACGGAGAUAAUUAUUAGUUUACUAAAAAUUAUCUUAGUGGCGGACGGGUUAGUAACACGUGAGCAACUUACCUCAAAGUGGGGAAUAGCCUUCCGAAAGGAAGAUUAAUACCGCAUGUGAUCUUCGGAUCAAAGACUGCUUCGGCAGUCGCUUUGAGAUAGGCUCGCGUCCUAUCAGCUAGUUGGUGAGGUAAUGGCUCACCAAGGCUACGACGGGUAGCUGUUCUGAGAGGAAGAUC